rnacentral:rRNA from 1 species
UACGUAGGGGGCAAGCGUUGUCCGGAAUUAUUGGGCGUAAAGAGCGCGUAGGCGGUCCGAUAAGUCGGGUGUGAAAGCCCUGGGCUCAACCCAGGAAGUGCACUCGAAACUGUCAGGCUUGAAUAUGGAAGAGGGUCGCGGAAUUCCCGGUGUAGAGGUGAAAUUCGUAGAUAUCGGGAGGAACACCAGUGGCGAAGGCGGCGACCUGGGCCAAUAUUGACGCUGAGGUGCGAAAGCGUGGGGAGCAAACAGG